rnacentral:rRNA from 1 species
AACGAACGCUGGCGGCAGGCUUAACACAUGCCAGUCGAACGCGUGCAGCAAUGCACGAGUGGCGCACGGGUGAGUAACGAGUGGAUAUCUGCCUUUUGGUUCGGAAUAACCCCGGGAAACUGGGGCUAAUACCGGAUGGUUCCUACGGGAUAAAGAUUUAUCGCCAAAAGAUGAGUCCGCGUCCGAUUAGCUAGUUGGUGAGGUAAUGGCUCACCAAGGCGACGAUCGGUAGCUGGUCUGAGAGGACGAUCAGCCGCACUGGGACUGAGACACGGCCCAGACUCCUACGGGAGGCAGCAGUGGGGAAUAUUGGACAAUGGGGGCAACCCUGAUCCAGCCAUGCCGCGUGAGUGAUGAAGGCCUUCGGGUUGUAAAGCUCUUUUGGCGGGGACGAUGAUGACGGUACCCGCAGAAUAAGCCCCGGCUAACUUCGUG